rnacentral:rRNA from 1 species
UACGUAGGGUGCGAGCGUUGUCCGGAAUUAUUGGGCGUAAAGAGCUCGUAGGCGGUCUGUCGCGUCGAUCGUGAAAACUUGGGGCUUAACCCUGAGCUUGCGGUCGAUACGGGCAUGACUGGAGUUCGGCAGGGGAGACUGGAAUUCCUGGUGUAGCGGUGAAAUGCGCAGAUAUCAGGAGGAACACCGGUGGCGAAGGCGGUUCUCUGGGCAUUACCUGACGCUGAGGAGCGAAAGUGUGGGGAGCGAACAGG